rnacentral:rRNA from 1 species
UGAGUCCUACGGGAGGCAGCAGUGAGGAAUAUUGGUCAAUGGGCGGAAGCCUGAACCAGCCAAGUCGCGUGAGGGAAUAAGGCCCUACGGGUCGUAAACCUCUUUUGCCGGGGAGCAAGGGCGGGGACGUGUCCCGGCCCGGAGAGUACCCGGAGAAAAAGCAUCGGCUAACUCCGUGCCAGCAGCCGCGGUAAUACGUAGGUGGCAAGCGUUGUCCGGAUUUAUUGGGCGUAAAGCGCGUGCAGGCGGUUCAA